rnacentral:rRNA from 1 species
GACGAACGCUGGCGGCGUGCUUAACACAUGCAAGUCGAACGAUGAAGCUGGAGCUUGCUCUGGUGGAUUAGUGGCGAACGGGUGAGUAACACGUGAGUAACCUGCCCUGGACUCUGGGAUAACCCCGAGAAAUCGGAGCUAAUACCGGAUAGGACCUCGGAUCGCAUGAUCUGGGGUGGAAAGUUUUUCGGUCGGGGAUGGUCUCGCGAACUAUCAGCUUGUUGGUGAGGUAAUGGCUCACCAAGGCGUCGACGGGUAGCCGGCCUGAGAGGGUGAUCGGCGACACAGGGACUGUGACAGGGCCAAGACUCCGACGGGAGGCAGCAGUGGGGAAUGUUGAACAAUGGGCGCAAGCCUGGUGCAGCGACGCCGCGGGCGGAAUGACGGCCUUCGGGUUGAAAACCGUUUUUAGAAAGGAAGAAGCCGCAAGGUGACGGUACUUGCAGAAAAAGGACCGGCUAACUACGUGACAGCCGCCGCCGUAACAC